AAGGAACCUCUUCUUAUUGAAAGCUGGAUUUGCAUGCCAUUGCUUAAAUACCUGGUUCCACCCCUUUGAUGGCUCCAUAAAAAUACAGACUCACCAGUUCCUGCUUUGAUGUGACAUGUGACUCCCCAGAAUACAUCUUGCUUCUGUAGACCAGCUCCAACAAGAUUCCAUGGUAGCUGGAAUGUUAGGGCUCAGACUUGAAUGCAGCAGUUCUUAUUGCUAACUUACUACCAGUCACCACUAAUGAACAAAGAGUAUGAACAGGCAGUUCAUAAAGAAGAGAUACAGGUGGCCAAUGAAGAUAGGAAAAGAGUUCUGCCUCAGUGAUAAUCAAAGAGACACACAUGGAAACAAAGAAGAUGGCAUUUUCACGUACCAAAUUUGUAAAGAUUAAAAGGACAAGUAGAAAGAAAAGACCUAAUGCCAGCAAAUGUUGGGAUUGGCUCCUGCUGCAUAGUUUGAGCCCCCACGUCCUGGGCUGGCCUGCACGUGCCGUCAGGUGAGGCCUUUCCUCGUCUCUGGGUGCAUUUGGAUCCGCUAUUGAGCAGGUGGCCCCUGCACAUGGUUCACAACUCAGGAAGUGCAAGCUCUAGAGUGAUGCUUGGUCUCUCGGCGUCCCUGCUGCCACCCGGGCCCCUCUGCAGGGAACAGCUGCCUCCAGGGGCUUGUAUGUGUCCUUUGAGGUGUUCUGUGCACAUACACGCACUUCGAAACCUAUUUUUAUUUCCCUGCGCCUGCUCAGGUCAGUGCGGCUAAGGUAUAUUUUUGUCCAUUUCAUCUGUGUUAUUAAGUUUACUAGCAAGAAGCCAUGCUUACCUUUUUAUAAACCUUUGCAACAUCCGUAUUUGUCUCCUUUUUCA